rnacentral:rRNA from 1 species
GACGAACGCUGGCGGCGUGCUUAACACAUGCAAGUCGAACGGAAAGGCCCUGCUUUUGUGGGGUGCUCGAGUGGCGAACGGGUGAGUAACACGUGAGUAACCUGCCCUUGACUUUGGGAUAACUUCAGGAACCUGGGGCUAAUACGGGAUAGGAGCUCCUGCUGCAUGGUGGGGGUUGGAAAGUUUCGGCGGUUGGGGAUGGACUCGCGGCUUAUCAGCUUGUUGGUGGGGUAGUGGCUUACCAAGGCUUUGACGGGUAGCCGGCCUGAGAGGGUGACCGGCCACAUUGGGACUGAGAUACGGCCCAGACUCCUACGGGAGGCAGCAGUGGGGAAUAUUGCACAAUGGGCGGAAGCCUGAUGCAGCAACGCCGCGUGCGGGAUGACGGCCUUCGGGUUGUAAACCGCUUUCGCCUGUGACGAAGCGUGAGUGACGGUAAUGGGUAAAGAAGCACCGGCUAACUACGUG